rnacentral:rRNA from 1 species
AGCAGGCGCGUAAAUUGCCCGAAUCCUGACACAGGGAGGUAGUGACAAGAAAUAACGAUACAGGGCUACAUCUAGUCUUGUAAUUGGAAUGAGUACAAUUUACAUCUCUUAACGAUGAUCAAUUGGAGGGCAAGUCUGGUGCCAGCAGACGCGGUAAUUCCAGCUCCAAUAGCGUAUAUUAAAGUUGUUGCAGUUAGAACGCUCGUAGUCGGAUUUCGGGGCGGGUCGACCGGUCUGCCGAUGGGUACGCACUGGCCGACGCGUCCUUUUUUCCGGAGACCGUCUCACUCUUAACUGAGCGGAGGCGGGAGACGGAAUUUUUACUUUGAAAAAAUCAGAGUGUUUCAAGCAGGCAGCUCGCUCUUGCAUGGAUUAGCAUGGGAUAAUGAAAUAGGACUUUGGUGCUAUUUUGUUGGUUUCAAACACCGAAGUAAUGAUGAGAAGGGACAGUCAGGGGCACUCGUAUUCCGCCGAGAGAGGUGAAAUUCUCAGACCAGCGGAAGACGAACCACUGCGAAAGCAUUUGCCAGGGAUGUUUUCAUUGAUCAAGAACGAAAGUUAGGGGAUCGAAGACGAUCAGAUACCGUCGUAGUCUUAACCAUAAACCAUGCCGACUAGGGAUUGGAGGAUGUUCAAUUAUCGACUCCCUCAGCACCUUACGGGAAACUAAAGUCUUUGGGUUCCGGGGGGAGUAUGGUCGCAAGGCUGAAACUUAAAGGAAUUGACGGAAGGGCACCACAGGUGUGGAGCCUGCGGCUUAAUUUGACUCAACACGGGGAAACUUACCAGGUCCAGACAUUGUGAGGAUUGACAGAUUGAGAGCUCUUUCUUGAUUCGAUGGGUGGUGGUGCAUGGCCGUUCUUAGUUGGUGGAGUGGUUUGUCUGGUUAAUUCCGUUAACGAACGAGACCUUAGCCUGCUAAAUAGUGACGCGAACACUUCGUUCGCGGGCCGCUUCUUAGAGGGACAACUUGUCUUCAACAAGUGGAAGUUUGAGGCAAUAACAGGUCUGUGAUGCCCUUAGAUGUUCUGGGCCACACGCGCGCUACACUGAUGCACGCAACGAGUCUCACCUUGACCGAAAGGUCCGGGAAACCUUCGAACUUGCAUCGUGAUGGGGCUAGAUUAUUGCAACUAUUAAUCUUCAACGAGGAAUACCUAGUAAGCGCAUGUCAUCAGCGUGCGUUGA